rnacentral:tRNA from 1 species
GUCUCUGUGGCUCAGUUGGUAGAGCAUGGUGUUUGCAACGUCAGGGUUGUGGGUUCGAUUCCCAUGGGGGGCC